rnacentral:rRNA from 1 species
GAUGAACGCUGGCGGCGUGCUUAAUACAUGCAAGUCGAGCGAACAGACCAGGUGCUGGGUCCAUUGACGUUAGCGGCGGACGGGUGAGUAACACGUAGGCAACCCAUCUAUAUGAGUGGGCUAACUGCGGGAAACGGGAGUAAAUGCUGGAUGCUACUUCGAACCGCAUGGUUCGAGAGUGAAAGAUGGGUUGGCUAUCAACUAUAGAUGGACCAGCGGCUUAUUGGCUAGUUGGUAAGGUAACGGCUUACCAAGGCAACGAUACGUAGCCGACCUGUGAGGGGGAUCCCCCACACUGGAGCUGAGCCACGAUCCUGACUCCUACGGGAGGCAGCGGUACGGAAUCUUCCGCAAUGGGCGGAAGCCUGACGGAGCAACGCCGCGUGAGUGCUGAAGGUCUUCGGGUCGUAAAACUCUGUUAUUGUGGAAGAACAAUUGUGUAAGUAACUAUGCACGUCGUGACGGUACCUGAUCAAAAAGCCACGGCUAACUACGUG